rnacentral:rRNA from 1 species
UACCAGCACCCCGAGUGGUCGGGACGUUUAUUGGGCCUAAAGCAUCCGUAGCCGGUUCUACAAGUCUUCCGUUAAAUCCACCUGCUUAACAGAUGGGCUGCGGAAGAUACUAUAGAGCUAGGAGGCGGGAGAGGCAAGCGGUACUCGAUGGGUAGGGGUAAAAUCCGUUGAUCCAUUGAAGACCACCAGUGGCGAAGGCGGCUUGCCAGAACGCGAUCGACGCUGAGGUACGAAAGCGUGGGGAGCAAACAGG